CUGGCGGCGUGCCUAAUACAUGCAAGUCGAACGCUUUGUGGUUCAACUGAUUUGAAGAGCUUGCUCAGAUAUGACGAUGGACAUUGCAAAGAGUGGCGAACGGGUGAGUAACACGUGGGAAACCUACCUCUUAGCAGGGGAUAACAUUUGGAAACAGAUGCUAAUACCGUAUAACAAUGACAACCGCAUGGUUGUUAUUUAAAAGAUGGUUCUGCUAUCACUAAGAGAUGGUCCCGCGGUGCAUUAGCUAGUUGGUAAGGUAAUGGCUUACCAAGGCGAUGAUGCAUAGCCGAGUUGAGAGACUGAUCGGCCACAAUGGGACUGAGACACGGCCCAUACUCCUACGGGAGGCAGCAGUAGGGAAUCUUCCACAAUGGGCGAAAGCCUGAUGGAGCAACGCCGCGUGUGUGAUGAAGGGUUUCGGCUCGUAAAACACUGUUGUAAGAGAAGAAUGACAUUGAGAGUAACUGUUCAAUGUGUGACGGUAUCUUACCAGAAAGGAACGGCUAAAUACGUGCCAGCAGCCGCGGUAAUACGUAUGUUCCAAGCGUUAUCCGGAUUUAUUGGGCGUAAAGCGAGCGCAGACGGUUAUUUAAGUCUGAAGUGAAAGCCCUCAGCUCAACUGAGGAAUUGCUUUGGAAACUGGAUGACUUGAGUGCAGUAGAGGAAAGUGGAACUCCAUGUGUAGCGGUGAAAUGCGUAGAUAUAUGGAAGAACACCAGUGGCGAAGGCGGCUUUCUGGACUGUAACUGACGUUGAGGCUCGAAAGUGUGGGUAGCAAACAGGAUUAGAUACCCUGGUAGUCCACACCGUAAACGAUGAGUGCUAGGUGUUUGAGGGUUUCCGCCCUUAAGUGCCGCAGCUAACGCAUUAAGCACUCCGCCUGGGGAGUACGACCGCAAGGUUGAAACUCAAAGGAAUUGACGGGGACCCGCACAAGCGGUGGAGCAUGUGGUUUAAUUCGAAGCAACGCGAAGAACCUUACCAGGUCUUGACAUCCCUUGACAACUCCAGAGAUGGAGCGUUCCCUUCGGGGACAAGGUGACAGGUGGUGCAUGGUUGUCGUCAGCUCGUGUCGUGAGAUGUUGGGUUAAGUCCCGCAACGAGCGCAACCCUUAUUACUAGUUGCCAGCAUUCAGUUGGGCACUCUAGUGAGACUGCCGGUGACAAACCGGAGGAAGGUGGGGAUGACGUCAAAUCAUCAUGCCCCUUAUGACCUGGGCUACACACGUGCUACAAUGGCGUAUACAACGAGUUGCCAACCCGCGAGGGUGAGCUAAUCUCUUAAAGUACGUCUCAGUUCGGAUUGUAGGCUGCAACUCGCCUACAUGAAGUCGGAAUCGCUAGUAAUCGCGGAUCAGCACGCCGCGGUGAAUACGUUCCCGGGUCUUGUACACACCGCCCGUCACACCAUGAGAGUUUGUAACACCCAAAGCCGGUGGGGUAACCUUCGGGAGCCAGCCGUCUAAGGUGGGA
rnacentral:rRNA from 1 species